AGCGGUGGAUAGGUCGUCUUGUGGCCGGGCUUCGUGAGGCAGCAGCCCGGGCUGUGAGUGCUCAGAGACGGUCAGAUGUCUGCUGAUGUCGGGGAUCCACCGGGAGACGGGUAGGUGUGAAACUGGCGGAGGAUUUAACGAACAAACAGCCGAGAAUAUAACAGAGGAGCCGCCAUCUUGGAUCCUAGUAGAAGAUUCUUCAUGUAGACUCGAAUAUCCCCCCACAGUCCUCAGUACCCCUCAGCAGUCGUCAGUAACCCUGUAAUCCUAUCAGACAUCGAUGUUUAGCGAUGAGCUGACUCAUGAUCCUUUCUGUGUUAUACUUUUAUUCUCGUGUUUUUCUCCCAGAGUUUUAAAACAGUCUGAUAUCACUGCAGUAAGCCCGGCCUCUGUGUCUAACUGUAAAACGGAACUCUUUAUUUAACAGUUAUGAAAGGAUAAUAUCCGUCUUACUGCUCAUAUUAAACGGAUUUUAACCAUAACCACGUCAAAAUGCGUUAAUAUAAUGUUCACCAAAGCGCAUGCGCGACCGGGACACGGCCAAAUGAUGGCAUCCCACAGCUUUAAUUCAGAUGGGACUAGAGUUAGUUUGAAACGUGCAACAGCGCCAUCUAUAGGGCCGUUCAGACUUAGCUCUGGGCUAACAGAGAGACAGGGUUCCCCCAGACUCUGCUAAGGACCCUUUAAAAGGGGUCCUCAUAAGGAGACCCCCAUAGAAGAGACCCUGCUGUCCAUGAAAGAUCAGCCAUACCACUCCUAAAAUCACUUUGGAUCAUUAAUUUAUGUAUUCAUUCAUUUAAUUCAGUCUUUUUUAAGUCUUUUUUUCUGUUUUUUUUAGAGGAGGUUCAGGGAUCAUUUAGGCUCUACAUUAGCUUACUGACAUCCGUGGCAGCUGCUGUGUUCUGAUUGGCUGGAGUUGUCUGUUAUUUACAUUACAUCUAAGAUCUGAGUAAAUGAACAUGUUUGUUCGUCUGUA